rnacentral:lncRNA from 1 species
GAAAAUAAACAAUCACCAGAAUGGUAUCAUCAGAGAGAGUUAAUUUAGCAUUUUAGCACACGUAUUUUUGGCCUUCUUUAUACUUACACGUCUAUGGUGUCUAUAUUAUAGAGAUACUGUAAAUAUUUGCUUUUCAUCCACUUGAUAGUGUACCAUGAAUACUUGUCAUGCUGUUAAUUAUUAAUCUAAAACAUGAUUUUCAAACUUUCAGAUGCAUAAGAAUCACCUGGGAGCAUGUGGGAAACGAAGGUUCUAAGGGUCCUCACUCACAGAUCCGAACGCAUGAAUCUGAGAUGAGGACCAGAGAGCUGCCUGUUGAAAAGCAUCCCAGUGAUUCUGAUGCAGGCGCCUCCCGGCACUCACUCUGACAAACACCGUCCACAGCGCGAUUGUUAAUUGCCGCACUGUGUUUUAUUACAUAGACGUGCCAUAACUUAUUAAACCAAUCUGAUAUUGUUCAUUCAACUCUAGUUUCCAAAUUUUCAUCUGCAUGAUUAAUUCCUCAAUGAAUAACCUACUACAUAACUCUUUCUGAACCUCUCUGAUUAUUCGCUUACAAAGAUGCUACAAAGCGGAAUUACUGGGUCAAAGAGAAUGCAAACUUGAGAAAAGCAGAUGGUAUUUUGGGUAGAAAAACAACCUUCUAAGCUGUAAAGUAUUAGACUAAGAUGAAAGAUUUAACAGCUGCCGCUUUCUGAGAGACUUUCAUACACCAGGAUGGUGGUUCUCAAAAUUUAUCCCGCGUGGACUCACCUGGAGGGCUUAUAAAAACAGAUUGCUGUCGCUUCCUCCCUGCCCGCUCUGAUUCAGCAGGUGAGGUGGGGCUGGAAAGGUGCGUUUCUAACAAGUUCUCAGAUGCUGCUGAUGCUGCUGGUUUGGGGACCACACUUCGAGAACUAGACGCUAUCCCAGCUGUUUCAAGCAAGUUAUUUAAAUGCCCUGGCAGCCCUUUACAGGCGAGGGCUGAGACUCAGAGAGGGUCUGAGGCCAUGAAGCUAAUGAUGCCAGAGCCGGGCGCUCUGAUUCCAGGUUUGAUCAUUUAAUGGCUGAUGCUUUCCUACAAACAGCCUCGUUUCUUACUUCAUUUCACUGCCCACAGAUAAAAUAUUUUUUGAUGUCUUCAUAAUAAGCGCCAAAGGUUCCGGUGUAAACCGCAUCCCUCCCAAUCUCGUAGGGGUGGCUGGGCGAGGAGAGAGGUUUGGAAGUGUUGGCUGAGAAUUUUUUCAGGGGCAGCUGGUCCAAUGAGUGACACUCCACCAUUCACAUCAAUCGGAUGGGUUCCUUCCCCGCCCUCCAUGGCUUCACCGACAUGUGGACUUCCAGACAAUCACUUCUCAACAGUUACUGCAACCGGGUAAUACUUCUUCCUCAGAAGAGAGCUCUCUCUUCUCCAAAAACCACCUCCAGGCUGCUCCACACAAUGGCCCAAACAACCUGUUUGUUCAGGCAACUCAGAAAAUAAAUCAUAUCAGUGCGGAAAAACAAGGAACUCCUGUCAAACCUGCUGGUUAAUAAUACCCGGCAGAGCAAACAGCAGGGGCCUGGCAAACAAGGAGCCAGGAUGGCUUCUCCCACACUCAGGUUAAGAGAGGUGAGCGUUUCCGAACCCACGCCCAGCCUCGCCAGCCACGUGAGUCACACAUAUUUCACAACUGAAGAAAUUCGAAGACCUAAUUAUGCAAAAUUUCGCCUGUUUAUCAUCUCGGGCUUUUGUCACCCUGCUGCCUUGUAGUGUGUUGACAAUUGUGUGUCGAUUUUUUUUCUCCAUAUGUCAUUCAGUCUCCAUGUCUUGAUCCUGCGAUUUGAGGUCUUUGCUAGGCACUCUACAAAGAGAAAUGGAACGCCGGCUGUCUAAAACAUGUUUUGUGUGGCUUCUAGAUAGUUCCAUUGGAUGUGGGUGCCCGAGAACAAUCCAUCCUUCCUGCCCAAUUACAUAACUCAGAAGGCGUUACUCCUAUCUGUCUUAAGGCAAAUUCGGUCUGGGCUGCUUCAUCAUGUAAGACAAGGCAGUACAUCCAACAGCGACAUAAUUGGUCUUUCUGCAUGUGCUCUGAGCCCCCACGGCUUAUUGUUAACACAGCUACUAGAGUCAUCUUUCCAAAGCCAAAUUCAAGUCAUUCUUCCGGAUGUUUGGAUUAUUCUCCUGCUAACAUUUGGCCGAUUGGGUGAAUUUAAUACCUUCUGUCUAGCUGCUUUGUGCCAAAAAUUGUGUAGAAGUGACCAUAGUCAACAUGGGGGCGCCACCUGGUACCACGAGGAGCACACCAAGAAAGAGCAGCAACACUGAAGGACUGCGGGAGCCGGACGCUGGGAAUCUGCCGUCUUUCCCUGGACUGCCCACCUCGGCUCAGCUUUCACGUGAGAGAAAUAGAUUGUGUUCUCAUGUAAGCCACAGCCAUUUUGGAUUUUCCUGUUGUGCAGUCAAACCUAACCCUAAAUAAUGCACACCUGUGAUUUGAAAGCAUUUUAGCGCUUACAAAAACACCCUAUAUUACUUAUCUCAUUUCUUCAACAAUCCUAUACAAUGCAAGGAACAGGAACUAUCAUUCCCACUUUUCAGUCGAAGAAACUGACCUUUUAGGAAGUUAAAUGACUUGCACACGGUCAAACAACUAGUAAGUAGAGAGUCUGGAUCAAAGAGAAGUUCGAUAUCUUCGUACAACUAGUCCCACCUGUUGAGACAGGGAGACACAAGCCCGGUGCACGGUCCUGGAGUGAGACAGAUCUGACUGCAGAUUUUUCUGUCUGGCUCCUCUUGUCUUAGGCGAGUUAUCUACCUUUCGUGAUCCUCAUGUAAUUAUUUGCAAGGUGGGUAAACAAUACCUCUAGGGAUCAAACGCUCCGAAUGAGAUAAGGUUUGUGGAGCUCCUGGUCCAGGGUCUGAGAUACAGCAGAUGCUCAGUAAAUAGAGCUCUUAUGGUGGCAGAUGCUUAUCAUUCUAAAGGUUAUUCAGAUGUGGGAGCAAAGGAAUGGAGGGGAGAGACUCAAAGGCUGCUUCAUCUUGAAGUUCUGUAUGUCUGUAAAGAAUUUGAAAUAUUUUUCUUUCUUUCUGGUUCAAAAGAUCAGAUUAGUGGGCCUGGGAGUGGCUAAGUUUCUUGUGUCCUCUGAACAUCUUCAAGUUAUUUCUCCCUAUCUCCAUUUGGGGAGAGACGUCACAGAAAAAUGUUUUUUGCUUUCAAGCUUCUCACAAGACUCAAGAAGAUGGGAAAGCACCCAUUCCAAAGCAAUUUCUAAAUUUCCCUUAUAGAAGUGAAGCGGGAACUCCUAGAGUAGCAAGUUGAAUUUUGUUUCUCAAAUACAGUUUGCAUGCCCCCUUCAGGUAUGUGAUAUCAGACUCAACUAGAUGAGAAAAAUGUCCUUCAAGCCCCUCAGACCUUGAAGAAAGUCAUCCAGAUGCACCCUCUGACGUGCACCUGCAGGUAAUCCUGCAGUGGCUGUUGUGACAGCAUCUAGUUUGUGGCCACUUUCGUCCCUCGCAAUCUUUUCUGCCCACCAGCAUAGCAAGAGGUCUCAUGGUUGCUUUUCAAUACUGAAGAUUUUGCUGGGUCCUGACUGUACUUCAUCUCUAAAGUGAAGCCUUUCCGGAUGCUUAUGUGCUGCUCCUUGACUCACUGACCUUAGGCUGCGUCCCUUUUCUGACAAGUGCCCUUUCUUACCACGUUUUUCACCCAUCUUGCUAUCUGACUCCAGAUUACAUUAAAUCAACUUUUAAUUUAUUUAGGUAAAUAGCAUUUAGGAAAGCUUUUAUGUCAUUUUAAAAAAGCAACUUCUAUUCAACUGGUAAUGGCCCUGGGAAGUUAUACACAUCUGGCUGUCAAGACUUAAAUGCACAUAUAGUUCUUUGGUGCAUGUGUAUGUUAUAAGUAAAAUUCAGAUGCUGAAGAUUAUUUGGACAGACACGGAACUCUGUUAAUUAGAGCUGCCUCUUCAGGAUCGGAACCUGAGAAUUGUGCUCUUAUUAUGUAAUACACAGGCAAAGUAGGUUACUGUACCUGACGUGGGGCAAAUGUUUAUAAUGUCCAGCCAGAACUGUCACCUGAGGACACAGAGAACAAAGAAACAGAAAGCCCUAAUCAGAUUAGAGCUUAACGAACCCACCUCCGGCUAGCUGUGGACUCGCCCAUGCCAGGCCGUGCCAACGAACAAACAGUAGGACAAAAAUGAGAGAACCAAACCUCUUCUGAAUUAUUUACAUUCUUCUGGUCGCUGUAAUUACAGGAUAUUUUUCAUUUUCUGUUACAACUUGCUCCCAUGCUGAUAUGUUUUUAAGUUGCGAUUUGUUCUCUGUUGCGAGAUAGUUAUGGUAAUCAUUAAAAUGGGCAAAAUUUCUUUCUGAAACAUAUAAAAAAUAAUAG